rnacentral:rRNA from 1 species
AUUGAACGCUGGCGGCAGGCUUAACACAUGCAAGUCGAGCGAGCGGAGGACGGGUGAGUAAUGUCUGGGAAACUGCCUGAAGGAGGGGGAUAACAACUGGAAACGGUAGCUAAUACCGCAAACCAUCAGAUGUGCCCAGAUGGGAUUAGCUUGUAGGUGUGGUAAUGGCUCACCUGGGCGACGAUCCCUAGCUGGUCUGAGAGGAUGACCAGCCACCCUGGAACUGAUACACGGUCCAGACUCCGUCGGGAGGCAGCAGUGGGGAAUAUUGCACAAUGGGCGCAAGCCUGAUGCCGCCAUGCCGCGGGUGUGAAGAAGGCCUUCGGGUUGUAAAGCACUUUCAGCGAGGAGGCGUUACUCGCAGAAGAAGCACCGGCUAACUCCGUGCCAGCAGCCGCGGUAAUUC